CAGUGCAGUCACCCAUAAAGUAGAAAGCACUACUAACAGCACUGGAGGGUGUAGUGUUUCCUACUUUAUGGAUGAGUGUACUGU
rfam:Macaca mulatta chromosome 16, whole genome shotgun sequence.